UGCAGGGGUGCUUGGGGAGGACAAGAUGGGAAAGGGAAGCUUCCUCCGUCACAUCCUCCCCAAGCACCCCUGCA